rnacentral:rRNA from 1 species
CAUGAUUCAGCGGCGGACGGGUGAGUAAUGCCUAGGAAUCUGCCUGGUAGUGGGGGACAACGUUUCGAAAGGAACGCUAAUACCGCAUACGUCCUACGGGAGAAAGCAGGGGACCUUCGGGCCUUGCGCUAUCAGAUGAGCCUAGGUCGGAUUAGCUAGUUGGUGAGGUAAUGGCUCACCAAGGCGACGAUCCGUAACUGGUCUGAGAGGAUGAUCAGUCACACUGGAACUGAGACACGGUCCAGACUCCUACGGGAGGCAGCAGUGGGGAAUAUUGGACAAUGGGCGAAAGCCUGAUCCAGCCAUGCCGCGUGUGUGAAGAAGGUCUUCGGAUUGUAAAGCACUUUAAGUUGGGAGGAAGGGCAUUAAUCUAAUACGUUAGUGUUUUGACGUUACCGACAGAAUAAGCACCGGCUAACUUCGUGCCAGCAGCCGCGGUAAUACGAAGGGUGCAAGCGUUAAUCGGAAUUACUGGGCGUAAAGCGCGCGUAGGUGGUUUGUUAAGUUGAAUGUGAAAGCCCCGGGCUCAACCUGGGAACUGCAUCCAAAACUGGCAAGCUAGAGUAUGGCAGAGGGUGGUGGAAUUUCCUGUGUAGCGGUG